rnacentral:tRNA from 1 species
GUCUCUGUAGUAUACUUAAUACAUUGACCUUGUAAGCCAACAAAGGAGCCACAAACCUCCCUGAGACU